ACGAACGCUGGCGGCUGCUUAACACAUGCAAGUCGAACGGAGUGGCGAACGGGUGAGUAACGCGUGAGCAACCUGCCUAUGACAGUGGGAUAGCCUCGGGAAACCGGGAUUAAUACCGCAUAGGCAUAGAUGGGCUGGCGUCUGAUUAGCUAGUUGGUUAGAUAACAGCCCACCAAGGCGACGAUCAGUAGCCGGUCUGAGAGGCUGAGCCGCCACAUUGGAACGGAGACACGGUCCGAACGCCUACGUGAGGCAGCAGUGGGGAAUAUUGCACAAUGGGGGAAACCCUGAUGCAGCGACGCCGCGUGAACGAAGAAGGUAUUCGUAUCGUAAAGUUCUGUCCUAUGAGCAGCAGUACCAUAGCAGAAAGCUCCGGCUAAAUACGUGCCAGCAGCCGCGGUAAUUC
rnacentral:rRNA from 1 species